rnacentral:rRNA from 1 species
ACCACGGGGGGCAGCAGUCUAGAGGCUUCGGCAAUGGGGGAAACCCUGACCGAGCGACGCCGCGUGUGGGAUUGAAGGCCUUCGGGUCGUAAACCACUGUCAAGAGGGAAGAAUGCCCGGAUGGUGAAUCCGGGAGGGACGGUACCUCUGGAGGAAGCCCCGGCUAACUCCGUGCCAGCAGCCGCGGUAAUACGGAGGGGACAAGCGUUGUUCGGAUUUACUGGGCGUAAAGGGUGUGUAGGCGGCUGGGUAAGUCUGGUGUGAAAUCUUCACCGCUCAACGGGAAGAGGUCACUGGAAACUGCCUAGCUCGAGUAUGGUAGAGGCAAGCGGAAUUCCUGGUGUAGCGGUGGAAUGUGUAGAUAUCAGGAAGAACAUCGGUGGCGAAGGCGGCUUGCUGGGCCAUUACUGACGCUGAGACACGAAAGCGUGGGGAGCGAACGGGAUUAGAUACCCGUGUAGUCU